rnacentral:lncRNA from 1 species
ACAAAGUAACAUAAGCAUUCCAAACUAGGUGGACUCUAUAUGCUAAGUGUCAAACUCUAAGGAUCAAACCAACCAACAUUUAAGAUUAAGGGACUAAUUGGGUUAUUGUCUCUUGAAGAAGCAAGCACGUCCCUUCAACUUCUUUCUUUCCCAUCACUUCCUUUCUCAGAUUUUGACUGAGAUAUAUGCAUACAUAUGUAAUUUACAUUUCCACAUUAGAAAAAUUCAUCAAACUCAGUGUUAUACACGGUUUGGUGAGCUUGCACCAAACUGUUGUUGCAAGUUGCAUACUGACUAUAGUCACUGCCCAACUUUUUAUUUGCCCAAAAAUUGAAGUUGAAAAUAUUCUCAGAUAUUGUACGAUCGGAUCUUACGCACAGAGCUUAAAAGUGGGCGCGUGAAGGAUUUUAGCUGUGUUUUGAUCAAAUUUGCUGCUGAUUUUUGGAAUUUAUUUAAGAUGUGAGAUUUAGUGCACUCUUCAUUUGGUAAAUUGGCUGAUUCUUUCAUUUGAUUACUUAUGUUUGUUUUGUUGUUGGAUCUAGAUAAAGAGCGGAGGCAGACAGCUGUAGCUGAAGGAAGGAUGAGUGAGAGCAAGCGUUUUCAGCUAGGG